AGUAGCCUCGCCCACCGCAAGGGCGGGUCUAGAGCCUGUGCGAUCCAGUCACCCCAUCUUGGUGACGCCACAGUGUGGCACGUCCCUGAGAGUGCCUGAACCCCAGGCUAGCGCACGACGGGCCCCUUUGAGUUCCCUGAGUGGACUACAGAGGCUCCUCUCCUCCCAUUUCAGCCAAUUUCCUACCCAGCUUCCAGUGCCACUUCCUGGCUGUUCCUGGGCUCCGUCCUCUGUCACUGACCCACUACCCAUCCUUCCCACCGAUGUUUACCAGAUGUGAUCGAAAGCUACGAUGGAGAAUUCAGAUGUCUUAGGGACGUGUACCAACUCUCCACAAGGAAUGCAAUCAUUAGCUACUACAAGCAUGGGCUAAUAAAAAACAUUUUAAAGAAAAAUCUAGUAAACAUUUAAAUUUUUAACAAUUUAUUACAGAAAAAAACCACAUUGCCAUGAAUUCCCUUAAAAUCCUCCCCCUCACUUAGAACACCCUUAUCCCAUCUUUCUUGCCACUUCCUGCAGCAAUUCUGGAGUCCUCUUUCUUGAGUGUCUUUACUUUCGCGGUCUUGGCUGCCUUGAUGUCCUGAAUUGAUUUAAAAUGUUCCCCUUUUCCUGGUCAGUUUGACUUUGGGGAAGAGCCAGAAGUUUCACGGUGUCAGAUCCAGUGCCUGAGGUGGAUGAGGAUAUGGCGUCAUGUUUUUACAAUUCUGCCUUUCUGCUGGAUGACACUCAGCAACAGCAUUCACCAUAUUUUUUAUCACAUCUCAUAAAGACUCAGUAGAGGUGCAUCAGAAAAUGGCAAGAGGGCCAGGGAUUUAGCUCAGAGAUUCCCCUGCCUGCCUAGCAAGUGCAAGGUCCUGAGUUCGAUCCCUGGUACCAAAAAAAAGGAAACGGAAGUAGUAGUGCACACCUGUAGACCCAGCACUCAAUUUGGGAGGCUGCAGCAGGAAGAUCACCUCAAGUUUGAGGCCAGCCUGUGCUACAUAGUGAGUUCAAGGCCAGCGUGAACUACAUACUGAGACCCUGUCUUAAAAAGCAAAAAAAAAAGAAAAGAAAAAUGAACCAAAAAUAGUGGCAAGAACAAUGGGAUGAAUACAUUCUAAGUGAAGGAGAGGAUUUGGGGGAAUUGUGGUAAAGAGUCUCUUACAAUCUAAAUGUGGGGCUGGGGAUUUAGCUCAGUGGUUCUGCCGCCUGCCUU
rnacentral:lncRNA from 1 species